UUCACUAAGUUAGAGAGAGAAGUGAGAGGUGAAGGAAGAACAAGGUUAGAGGAAGGGGGAAACUUGAAGAUUGACGCAAUUAGGAGCUAAAGUGAAGCUUAAGUUAAGAUUAAACAUCAUCUAAGGUAAGGGGGUUUGUUUUCAUCAUAAUCAAUUUCAAAUUUUACAUCUUCUCAUGUUGUAUGAAAAUGGGUUGAUGAACAAUUCAUGUCAAAUUCGUGCUCUUGUUAUGUUGCUGUUGCUUAUACAUGAAUUGAUGAUUAUGGUAUGUUUGUGGAUGAAAUUACAUGGUUCAAUGUAUGUAUAAAUGUCAAGUUGUGAAAUUUUGCCUAAUUAAUGAUUUGUGAUAAGUUGUGUUGAAUUGAGGUGAGAAACAAGUUUCAAUGGAUGUUGUUGUUGACAAACCAUGUUGUUGUGAGUGAAUUAUGACUUGGGUAUACAUAAUUAUGGAUUGAUGAUGAAAAAUGAGAUGUUGUUGUUGUUUUGAGAAAAUGGGUCAAAUGGUGAUUUUGUUUAAAAUGAUGUUUGAUUCAAGUUUGUAUAUGGAUUUGAGUAUCUUUUCAUGUCUAAAAACAUUUGGGUAAACCUUUGGAAUCAAUUUGGGUAUUGGGAGGUCAAAAAUUGGGAUUUUGGGGUGAAAAUGGAUUUUUCACGAAAACAGAAUUUUCUGCAAACUGUCAUCCUCGCGAGGCGAUCUGGAGGCGAGUUGGUGGCGAGUAGCCACUGGAAUUGCUCGCCAUGGCGAGUAACAUUACUCGCGAGGCGAGCAGCCCAGUGACAGCUUCCCCUGUUUCGCGCUCUUGCAUCGUUUUCGCAUAUUUCUAUUUUGAUUUGGACUUUUUGGUAAACAUGAAAGUUGUAGACAAUUAUGUUAGCUAUCUUUUGGUUUUGGUUUGACGUCCAAAUGAUUUUUAGAACUUGAGAUAUGAUUAAAUUACUACACAUGGGUCAUGUGGAUUUUUGGUGAAAACUUAUCAUAACUUUUUCUAUGAGCCGUGAAACUUUUCCAAACUUGAUAUUGGGCUUAAUGAAGUAUUUAGAGUGAAUAAUUGAGUAUGUAAAUAUGUAAUUGGGAUGUGAUAUUUAUCAUGAGAUGUAUUUUGCUAGCUUACUUGGAAUAUGAGAGUGCUUGAAAUGGUGAAACUAUACGGUAUAGUUGAUGUUGAAUGACAUUGUUGAUUAUUGAUAAUCAUGUUGAUGUGUGAUGGUGAAUACUAUGAUUUAUUUGUGUGGGCAUGUUUUCUUGAUAAUGCAAUGUUGUGGAGAUAAUCAAUAUAAUUGGGUGUUGUCCUAUAUAUUGAGGUUGAGAUUGUGAAUUGUUGUCGCAUUAUCGAGUCCUUACACAUGUCCAUGCAUCAUAGUCGUUGUUGCUGUAAAAGGGAUGAAUCUUUUACUUCGAGAUUAUUGUAAGGCAGAGGUGAGCCUUACAUGCGAUGUUGACUUGUCCAUCGGAGGUGACGACCUUGUUGAGAUUUGGUACCACAUGCAUUUAUGUGUCAAUAAGUGCAUAUCAUAGCAUGAGUCCUAUGUGAAAUAUGUGAUUGGUGAUGAAUGGAGAAGAAUGAAAGUUGAUAAUGAUUGUUUGUGAUUGAUGUUGUGAAUGAAUAUUUAUGAUUGGAUAAUUAUUCAUGUGAUUGAUAUAUGUGGAUAUGAACUAUCAAGUUGUGAUAUAAGUAUUUAUGCAUGACUAUUAUUAUUCAAGUACAUGAUAUUUAUUCCAUUUGAUUAUUAUCUGGAUUAUGAUAAUGUAAUGCUUACCCCCAGUGGUUUUAACCGCCUACUUGCCUGUAUGGGUGAGUAGACGUUGUGCAGGAGUAGUCUCGGUGAGUCUUUGCUUGGGAUAUCGGGAGCUUCCUCCGAUAUCGGUGUCGGCUCUGAUCUAGGCUUGUCGUGUCGGUCUAGAUUAGGUUGUUUAUAUUUUCGUUUGGAUUAUUAUUUUGUUGAUGACUACCCGAUGUUUGGGUUUUGAGAUUUAUCUUUUGGAUAUGAUUUAUUUGCUCAUGGCAUGUAUAUAUUUGAUCACUCUGAUUUAAAUUCCGCUGUAACUGUUGAGGUUUACAUACAUGCGUUACACCUAGUCUUCUAUUUACAUAUUUUAUCUUUUACUUUUAAAAAUUGUAUUAAAAAAACCAACUUUGAUGGGAUUUGAACCCACAAUCUUUU
rnacentral:lncRNA from 1 species